GAAAGAGUUGGGUGAUAGUUCGUAUUAGGUAUUUUUAAAUCUUUGUGUAAAGAAUAGUUCCGAGGAACGCGGCUCUGAUAUAAACUGUAACGACUUAUAACUUAAAAGAAAAUAAAGUUAUGUAUUAAAUGCAGAAGCAAAACAAUAGAGUUUAGGGUUUACAUUCCUUACACAAUAAUUUAAAGUGCCUAAUAGGGUUACGAGAAUGACCAUUCUAAAAAAGUAAACAAAAUUAAGAAAAUAAAUAAAAGACAAUAUUCUAAGCAUUCUAGGAUGACCUUCACUAGCUUUUGAAGGGAGUACGGGUGAACUAUUCACAACUCUCUUAUUAAUCGAGAUCUGAGUUUUUUUCCUCUUGAUCUGAAAUAGUUAAUGAAAGGAUGAGCUACACAAGCUCAGUAAGAAUAUCACACUACUCAUCGAUACAGAAACUUAAGGUUGGUAAAAAUUAUAAAAAUAACCAAUGAAGCUCUUGAUUUAAGUAAAUUUAUUUAUCAUAGAAAAAACUAUUUAUUGCCUAUAUUUUCCGUUUGCGAGAUUUUCAAAAUCGACCUGUAGAGACAAUAAUCCAAAUAACAUUUCAAUCUUAUAUUUAAGUGAGUAAGAAUAGUAACUUUUAAUCUUUAUUUGCCUACUGGUAUUCUUGAGAGCCCAUAGAAAUAUCUCACUACGGGUGAACCAUUAUUUAACAUUGUCAACUAACCGGCCGUCCCCAUACCUUGUCCAGUAUGAGUGCCAAGAAUACGAUCUUUCAAUACCCCGUCCGGUAUGAGGAUGAAACAGGUCGUCUCCAUACCCCGUAUGAUAUGAGUAGCAAAAAUACCAAUCCUCGAUAUCUCGUCGGUAUGAUACGGCGUUAACAGUAGGGUUUUUUAUGUAUCCAGUAAGGCUACCAUUCAUUCAUUCACUUAACCAAUCAAUUUUCUAUUUACAUUUAAUUUUCAGUUUCACAAUUUAACCACAAAUCAAUGCAAGACAAACAAUACAUGCAUCAAGAAAACACAACUGAAUUAUUUUACCAAUUCCAAUAUAUGAUCAUGCAUUUAAAGCUGUAAAAUCAAACAAUUGGUUAAACAGCACAAACAAUAAUAAAUGAUCGGUUCUACCUCCAUUAAUAACCUGUAAUUAAUUCUCAAAGUUUUAUAAAUUAUGCAAAAUACCGUAUUUUUGAUAAUUAUACUUUAAUUCCAUAAUAUGGAAUAAGGUGAUGGAUUCUUACUCGAAUCAGUGUUCGAAAUACCGAACUUUCUACUGCACUUAUUGGCGGUCCCCGGGUUUUCGAAAUUUUUCUGCGGAAAUUAAAACAUGUUUCACGUACCUAAAAAUAUCCCAAAAAAUCCAAAAUCGGUGUUAAAAACUUUUUCUGACCAAUUUCAGAAUUCUAGCACAGUGGCAUCGCGGUGCUCUGGCGAUAGCACCACUGUCCGCGGCGGCGGUUUGCCUUGACCUGGCCAUUUUCGGCCAGUUUUAGCUGGUUUUAUACCCAUCCCUGCGAGAAAACACAUUAGGGAGCAUUGGUUGGCCUAAAAAAGUCAAAAAAUAAAAACUUACUGGUGGCAAAUUUUUUUUGUGCGGCGGCUCUACCGGCUCACCUUCGUGACUAGGCAUUUUUCUUCGGUUAACCUAUAGAAAACAGAAUGGUGAACACAAUGGUAGAAAAAUCGCACGAAACGAGAAGGGGCUCAUUGGAGGCGAUUUUAGGUUUUGUCCAUGGAGGCGGCGUCGGAUUUUACUCGCGGUUUCUGAGUCAUCUGCCGUUCCUUUUGCUCUAAUUUGCCAUGGGGGUGUUCGGAAUCAAAUUCCAAGUGAAUAUGAGAAUUUUUAUUUUUUUUAGCGGUCAAAGGUGGCUCCAGCGUGGUAGCGGACGACGGUCGGCUCCCUUAUCCGGCGAUUGAUUCUUCUUCUCCGGCAGGAGGCUGGCGGCUAGGGUUUAGAUUCGAUGUGAUGCGAGAUUUAUACCCGUCUCUCAUAAAUCUGGGUCGUUCAUCGCGUUUGAUAUUAACCGUCUGAUUACAUUUAAAAAUUAUAUUUUUAUAUAUAUUUUUUAAUUUUAAAAUUAAUCUCAAACUAAAUUUUGGAUUCGGGUAUUACACAAAUAUUGAUAUCUAACAUUAAAGAUUUAAUGUUUUACCUCACUUAAUGACAAUUAAAGUAAAUUUGCUUAUAGACAACUUUGGAAGCUCUCUCACUUUCUGGGUGAGACUCUUUCCUUCAAACAUCAUAUAUUUGUUAUUCUAUAAAUAUUGUUUUUCCACAUAUAUAUUUGCCAAAUAAAAGAACUCUUAUGAUGAUAUAAUACCUCAGUAGACUUGUCAAAAUGUGAAUGACAUUAUUAAAAAUAAAUUUAACUUUUGAAAUUUUUGAAAUCACAAAUUGUAUUGAAAACGAGAUUAAACAUCAAAUAACUCAUUGAUAGCAGACCUAUUUCAUAAGGUAAUUAUUAAUUUAUUUUACAUACCAAAAUUUAACAUAAUCCCCAAGUGGUGAGGGGCGUUUAAAACACACCCAAAAAAGAAGGUGAACAUUUAAAUACAAAUGACAAUCAUGGUAAUUCCUCUCUCUCUCUCUCUCUCUCUCUAUAUAUAUAUAUAUAUAUAUAUAUUUAUCUAUUUCUUUGGGCUACUAUAAUUAUCCUUAUUUAUUUACAGCAACAUUAAGUUAUGCCCACUACAAAUGUUGUAAGAUAAAUUUCAACUUGAUCUAUAAAUGAAAUAAACUUUAAUUAAAAUUACCCAAACCAAGAACCUAAGGCAAACUACAGUAAAACAGUAAUAUAUCCCUGAAAAUACAUUCAAAUUUAAGCCAUCGAAAGGAACACAAAUUUUGCAUAAUCUCUAAAUACUAUACUUAAUUUCACUUUAAAAUGAAAGCCACACAGAUCGAAAUCAUAAACCCAUAGUUUCCUACAGAAAUUAUUUCUCAAUUUCAACACUCCGAUAUAAAAGAGUGAAAAAGAUUUAAGAUAUACACCUGACCAUCUUCCACCCCUCUUCUCUGCUUUCCAUUCUUGUCUCUAAUUUUCACCCGAUUCAUCUUUUCUUUUCUUUUCUUUUUUUUUUUGCCUCUUUUAAUACUGCUUCUUUUUGUUCUUCAACACCGCCUACUAUCCUUCUCUUCUCCAAGUCAAGUCGAGCAGCAACGCCAGAGAGGAAGUCUGUUCCUCCUCUCGAGCCAAGCUCCCGUCCGAUGCUUCUUCUUUCUCGAUCAUGGCAGAAGCAAAGCUUCCAUUUUGGUGUUUUGCUUUAUUUCCUCUUUCCUCGGCUUGCUUUUCCAGGUUUGUCGAAUAGACUUAAGAAUCUCUCUCUCUCUCUCUCUCUCUCUCCUCUGCGCGCACUGCCCGAAGCCUCCACCUUCUCUGUCGUCCUCGACUCUCCUCUCUCUCUUUGCAGGC
rnacentral:lncRNA from 1 species